GUUGUCAUGUUGGUCUUGUGGACUGAGAACUCGCGGCCUCUUGUCUUUCCUCAGGUGAAAGUGGUGACUGCAAUGGUCGCAGCUAGUCGGUGA